rnacentral:SRP_RNA from 1 species
GCCGGGUGUGGUGGCUCACGCCUGUAAUUCUAGCACUUAGGGAGGCCGAGGCAGGUGGAUCACCUGAGGUCAGGAGUUCAAGACCAGCCUGACCAACAUGGUGAAACCCUGUCUCUA